UCUCAAGUUAGCGUGGCUAGGAUGUUGCAUUGUAUCUUGUGGAACAUUACAAGUAAAGCUCCUGUUGCUGCUGCAGGAUGUGAGAGAAGAUCAACAGAAAACACGGAAACACUGAAGGAAAGCAGACGGUGUUUGUGCUGGACGCCUGAAGAUCCACAAAAGACGCUCGGCUGCAGACAAACAUGUCUCUGUUCUUCUCUGGAGCUGUGACAAGUAUGAC